GCCUGGGUGGCUCAGUUGGUUAAGUGUCUGACUUCAGCUCAGGUCAUGAUCUCCCAGUUCGUGAGUUCAAGCCUUGCAUCGGGCU
rnacentral:tRNA from 1 species